GACGAACGCUGGCGGCGUGCCUAAUACAUGCAAGUAGAACGCUGAAGAGAGGAGCUUGCUCUUCUUGGAUGAGUUGCGAACGGGUGAGUAACGCGUAGGUAACCUGCCUGGUAGCGGGGGAUAACUAUUGGAAACGAUAGCUAAUACCGCAUAACAACAGUUGUUGCAUGACAGCUGUUUAAAAGAUGCAAUUGCAUCACUACCAGAUGGACCUGCGUUGUAUUAGCUAGUUGGUGAGGUAACGGCUCACCAAGGCGACGAUACAUAGCCGACCUGAGAGGGUGAUCGGCCACACUGGGACUGAGACACGGCCCAGACUCCUACGGGAGGCAGCAGUAGGGAAUCUUCGGCAAUGGGGGGAACCCUGACCGAGCAACGCCGUGUGAGUGAAGAAGGUUUUCGGAUCGUAAAGCUCUGUUGUAAGAGAAGAACGGGUGUGAGAGUGGAAAGUUCACACUGUGACGGUAUCUUACCAGAAAGGGACGGCUAACUACGUG
rnacentral:rRNA from 1 species